rnacentral:lncRNA from 1 species
UUUCCCAUGUAUGAUUGGAAUCCAGCAAUCCAGGGAAUCAUCCUCAAUUGUAGUGCCUUUGGUAUUCUAAUCUCAAUAAUCCCAAGUGGGUAUUUGGCUGAAGUACUUGGAACAAGAAAAACAUUACUUUCAGUUAUAAUGAUUUCCCUUCUGACGACUAUCAUACCAUUUGGAGCAUCUCAGGGAGUAAUUUAUAUUAUUCUGAUAAGAGUACCAAUGGGCAUCUUACAGGUAAUGGAAUAAAUUCUAUGCAACCUUGAGACGCAUGUAGAAUUAUUCAAAUCCAUUCAGAGAUCAAGGUUUUUUUUUUUAUCAAUUAACGUUUUUAUUCUAGGGUGUUCAACAGUCAGCUUUCAUUCCUUUUUUAAUAAAAUGGGCUCCUCCCAAGGAACAUAGUGAAUUUUCUGGAGUAUAUUUUUUUGUGGUAAGGACCAAAAAUUCAGAAGAUUCAUUGCAUUCCCAUUUUGUCACUAGAAAAAGGAUGUUUCAUGUUUGGGAUAUAAAUAAACUGUAAGACAGGGGCUUGCAUUUUUUAAUUGUAUUUUUCUCAAUUAAUCUAGGUUUGGACACAUUUAAAAACAAUAGUUAAUCAUAUGUGGAUUGAUCUAUAAGAAUCUAAUAUAGUUUUGCCACAAUUCUAUUCUAUUUCUUCCAAUUAGCUGUUAUGCUUCCAAGCAUCUUUAUCUUCUUUGUGAGUGGACUCAUCUCUCAGUCCCUAGGCUGGCCAUAUAUCUUCUAUAUAUUUGAUUGUGGGAAGAACUUUUGGAAGAGCUUAAAAAAACUUCAAAAACUAAAUGAAGUUAAAGAAAAAUUAGAAAAAAAGUAUUGCAAAAAAAUCAAGAAAAUUACGAAAGACCACCCAAAUGGAAAAAGAGAACAAGAAAUUCAGAGAAAAGUAAUUAAGAACAAAAUUGAACAAGGGGAAGAUAAUAAAUUCCUAAGACAAUAAUAAAUAAAGCAAAAUCAAAAGAAUGAAAUAAUAGAAAAGAAUAGGAAGCAUCUUAUCAUGAAAAUAACUGACAUGGAAAAUAAAUGGAGAAAAUUUAAAGAAUGGUUGAAUUUU